rnacentral:rRNA from 1 species
UACGUAGGUGGCAAGCGUUGUCCGGAAUUAUUGGGCGUAAAGCGCGCGCAGGCGGUCCUUUAAGUCUGAUGUGAAAGCCCACGGCUUAACCGUGGAGGGUCAUUGGAAACUGGGGGACUUGAGUACAGAAGAGAAGAGUGGAAUUCCACGUGUAGCGGUGAAAUGCGUAGAGAUGUGGAGGAACACCAGUGGCGAAGGCGACUCUUUGGUCUGUAACUGACGCUGAGGCGCGAAAGCGUGGGGAUCAAACAGG